GACGAACGCUGGCGGCGUGCUUAACACAUGCAAGUCGAACGGAAAGGCCCUGCUUUUGUGGGGUGCUCGAGUGGCGAACGGGUGAGUAACACGUGAGUAACCUGCCCUUGACUUUGGGAUAACUUCAGGAAACUGGGGCUAAUACCGGAUAGGAGCUCCUGCUGCAUGGUGGGGGUUGGAAAGUUUCGGCGGUUGGGGAUGGACUCGCGGCUUAUCAGCUUGUUGGUGGGGUAGUGGCUUACCAAGGCUUUGACGGGUAGCCGGCCUGAGAGGGUGACCGGCCACCUUGGGACUGAGAUACGGCCCAGACUCCUACGGGAGGCAGCAGUGGGGAAUAUUGCACAAUGGGCGGAAGCCUGAUGCAGCAACGCCGCGUGCGGGAUGACGGCCUUCGGGUUGUAAACCGCUUUCGCCUGUGACGAAGCGUGACUGACGGUAAUGGGUAAAGAAGCACCGGCUAACUACGUG
rnacentral:rRNA from 1 species